AUUGAACGCUGGCGGCAUGCUCUAACAUGCAAGUCGAACGGGGUGAGGAGCUUGCUCCUCAUCUAGUGGCGAACGGGUGAGUAAUACAUCGGAACGUACCGUGUAGUGGGGGAUAACUUACCGAAAGGUAGGCUAAUACCGCAUACGAUCCACGGAUGAAAGCAGGGGACCUUCGGGCCUUGUGCUAUACGAGCGGCCGAUGUCUGAUUAGCUAGUUGGUGAGGUAAAGGCUCACCAAGGCAACGAUCAGUAGCGGGUCUGAGAGGAUGAUCCGCCACACUGGGACUGAGACACGGCCCAAACUCCUACGGGAGGCAGCAGUGUGUAAUUUUGGACAAUGGGGGCAACCCUGAUCGGGCGGGGCCGCGUGUCUGAAGAAGGCCUUCGGGUUGUAAAGGACUUUUGUCAGGGAGCAAAACCUAAUGGUUAAUACCGGUUAGGGAUGAGAGUAACUGAAGAAUAAGCACCGGCUAACUACGUG
rnacentral:rRNA from 1 species